ensembl:lncRNA
AUAAGAACAGAACAAACCAGUUCUGAUAUACAAAAAGUAAUGAAUAACAGACUUCAGUAGCUGAGGAAAGAAAAGACCUUAAGUGAUAACAUCUGGAAUCAGAGGUUUCUUGUGCAGAGAUGCACACAUCUGCCUGCAUCAUGGAAGGGACUAAGGUGGACUCCAACAGAGCUAGUGAGGGAUAAACUGCCUCAAGGGCUAGGACACGGGUACAGCAAAGCAGAUAAUAUCACUGGCUGUGAAGAAAAAGUGUGGCCAUAUGGCAGGUAUUGAUAUGACUCCUUUUCCAGAGACAUCAAGCUCCCAACAGUGACCACAAGUAUGUUGGUAGGAAUUUUUUAAGUAAAACAGUUUCCUAUUGCAAAAUGUACAAAGUUUU